CAUAGGUUAAUGAGGCGAACCGGGGGAACUGAAACAUCUAAGUACCCCGAGGAAAAGAAAUCAACCGAGAUUCCCCCAGUAGCGGCGAGCGAACGGGGAGGAGCCCAGAGCCUGAAUCAGUGUGUGUGUUAGUGGAAGCGUCUGGAAAGGCGCGCGAUACAGGGUGACAGCCCCGUACACAAAAAUGCACAUACUGUGAGCUCGAUGAGUAGGGCGGGACACGUGGUAUCCUGUCUGAAUAUGGGGGGACCAUCCUCCAAGGCUAAAUACUCCUGACUGACCGAUAGUGAACCAGUACCGUGAGGGAAAGGCGAAAAGAACCCCGGCGAGGGGAGUGAAAAAGAACCUGAAACCGUGUACGUACAAGCAGUGGGAGCCUCUUAAUGGGGUGACUGCGUACCUUUUGUAUAAUGGGUCAGCGACUUAUAUU
rnacentral:rRNA from 1 species